rnacentral:rRNA from 1 species
UGAACCUGCGGAGGGAUCAUUACUGAGUGUGGGCUCCGGCCCUACCUCCAACCCCAUGUCGAAACGACUCUGUUGCCUCGGGGGCGACCCGGCCUUCGGGCGUCGGGGCCCCCGGUGGACACCUUCAUAACUCUUGCAUCUCUUGCGUCUGAGUGAUACAUAUAAUCAAUCAAAACUUUCAACAACGGAUCUCUUGGUUCUGGCAUCGAUGAAGAACGCAGCGAAAUGCGAUAAGUAAUGUGAAUUGCAGAAUUCAGUGAAUCAUCGAAUCUUUGAACGCACAUUGCGCCCCCUGGCAUUCCGGGGGGCAUGCCUGUUCGAGCGUCAUUACACCACUCAAGCCUGGCUUGGUAUUGAGCGCCGCGGCCUGCCCGCGCGCUCCAAUGUCUCCGGCUGAGCCGUCCGUCUCUAAGCGUUGUGAAUAGCGAUCGCUUGCGAGGCCCGGGCGGUUCGACGCCGUUAAACCCCCCAUUUUCUAUGGUUGACCUCGGAUCAGGUAGGGAUACCCGCUGAACUUAAGCAUAUCAAUA